rnacentral:rRNA from 1 species
CCAAUAGCGUAUAUUAAAGUUGUUGCAGUUAAAAAGCUCGUAGUUGAAUUUCAGGCCUGGCUGGACGGUCCGCCCUUCGGGUGAGUACUGUCUGUGGUCGGGUCCUACCUUCUGGCGAAGCGUCAUGGCCUUAACCGGCCGUGGCGGGGAACCAGGACUUUUACUGUGAAAAAAUUAGAGUGUUCAAAGCAGGCAAUCGCUUGGAUACAUUAGCAUGGAAUAAUGGAAUAGGACAAUGGUUCUAUUUGUUGGUUUCUAGGACCGUUGUAAUGAUUAAUAGGUAUAGUUGGGGGCAUUAGUAUUCAAUUGUCAGAGGUGAAAUUCUUGGAUUUAUUGAAGACUAACUACUGCGAAAGCAUUUGCCAAGGAUGUUUUCAUUAAUCAAGAACGAAAGUUAGGGGAUCGAAGACGAUCAGAUACCGUCGUAGUCUUAACCAUAAACUAUGCCGACUAGGAAUCGGGCGAUGUUGAAAAAAUGACGCGCUCGGCACCUCAUG